UACAGAGAGUGCAAACGUUGUUCGGAAUUACUGGGCUUGAAGCGCACGUAGGCGGCGUUGUAAGUGUCGGGUGAAAUCCCACGGCUCACCCGUGGAACUGCCCGGCAUACUGCGAUGCUAGAGUGUGGUAGGGGAGAGCGGAACUCCUGGUGGAGCGGUGAAAUGCGUAGAUAUCAGGAAGAACACCGGUGGCGAAGGCGGCUCUCUGGUCCACAACUGACGCUGAGGUGCGAAAGCGUGGGGAGCAAACAGG
rnacentral:rRNA from 1 species